rnacentral:tRNA from 1 species
GCUCCGAUAGCUCAGUCGGUAGAGCAUCAGACUUUAAUCUAGGAGUCCAUGGUUCGAGUUCCUGUUCGGGCG